AGUGAACGCUGGCGGUAGGCCUAACACAUGCAAGUCGAACGGCAGCACAGUAAGAGCUUGCUCUUACGGGUGGCGAGUGGCGGACGGGUGAGGAAUACAUCGGAAUCUACUUUUUCGUGGGGGAUAACGUAGGGAAACUUACGCUAAUACCGCAUACGACUUACGGGUGAAAGCAGGGGAUCUUCGGACCUUGCGUGAUUGAAUGAGCCGAUGUCGGAUUAGCUAGUUGGCGGGGUAAAGGCCCACCAAGGCGACGAUCCGUAGCUGGUCUGAGAGGAUGAUCAGCCACACUGGAACUGAGACACGGUCCAGACUCCUACGGGAGGCAGCAGUGGGGAAUAUUGGACAAUGGGCGCAAGCCUGAUCCAGCCAUACCGCGUGGGUGAAGAAGGCCUUCGGGUUGUAAAGCCCUUUUGUUGGGAAAGAAAAGCAGCAGGUUAAUACCCCGCUGUUCUGACGGUACCCAAAGAAUAAGCACCGGCUAACUUCGUG
rnacentral:rRNA from 1 species